rnacentral:rRNA from 1 species
UACGGAGGGGGCUAGCGUUGUUCGGAAUUACUGGGCGUAAAGCGCACGUAGGCGGCUUUCUAAGUCGGGGGUGAAAUCCUGGAGCUCAACUCCAGAACUGCCUUCGAUACUGGAAAGCUCGAGUCCGGGAGAGGUGAGUGGAACUGCGAGUGUAGAGGUGAAAUUCGUAGAUAUUCGCAAGAACACCAGUGGCGAAGGCGGCUCACUGGCCCGGAACUGACGCUGAGGUGCGAAAGCGUGGGGAGCAAACAGG